GGGCUUGUGGUCUAGUGGCUUAAACUUUUUCAGAAAAAGUUUGAUCAAAAAGACUCUCUGGAAAUGGUUCCAUAAAUGACAUCUCGUUGACGUCGAGAGGAUCCCCGGUUCGAAUCCGGGCAGGCCCA
rnacentral:tRNA from 1 species